AACAUGACUCUUGGAAAUGGAUGUCUCAGCUCUCACCACGAUGAAGAAUGUAGCAAAAUAAAAUACUUAGUGUGAAUUGCAAAAUCUCGUGAAUCAUUGAGUCUUUGAAUGCAAGUUGCACUCAAGGCUCUGGAUGAGACCAUGUCUUCUUGGGCAUCACAC
rnacentral:rRNA from 1 species